rnacentral:rRNA from 1 species
CCUACGGGUGGCAGCAGUGAGGAAUAUUGGUCAAUGGGCGCGAGCCUGAACCAGCCAAGUCGCGUGAAGGAUGACUGCCCUACGGGUUUUAAACUUCUUUUAUAAAGGAAUAACGUGAGGCACGUGUUCCUUUUUGUAUGUACUUUAUGUAUAAGGCUCGGCUAACUCCGUUCCAGCAGCCGCGGUAAUACGGAGGAUCCGAGCGUUAUCCGGGUUUAGUGGGCUUAAAGGGAGCGUAGAUGGGAUGUUAAUUCAGUUGUGAAAUUUUUCGGCUCAACCGUAAGAUUGCAAUUGAUACUGGCAGUCUUGAGUACAGUUGAGGUAGGCGGAAUGCGUGGUGUAGCGGUGAAAUGCAUAGAGAUCACGCAGAACACCGAUUGCGAAGGCAGAAUACCGGCGCCCAACUGACGCUGAAGCACGAAAGCGUGGGUAUCGAACAGGAUUAGAUACCCGGGUAGUC